AUAUAAACGCGAGUUCACCCCAUUCUCCUUCUCGGUGCCUGAAAACCCCCAGAGUUCGCACCUGCCGUCAGAUCGAAGCUAGGGUUCCGAGGGCGAAGCAACCGGAGCGAUCGUUACCUCGUCGCCAUGAGAGCUAAGUGGAAGAAGAAGCGCAUGAGGAGGUUGAAGAGGAAGCGCAGAAAGAUGAGGCAGAGAUCGAAGUAGGGACAGUCUUCAUCAUCAUCAAAAGCGGGUCUCAUCUCUAGUCGUUCUUUCUCUUUAAAGCUAUGUUCUUUUCUUUUUGGGGAACCAGUACUUGUAGAAGAUUAGGCUUCUCGUUUUUGUACCGUUCCGUGUCUUGUUCUUUGUUGGAUUGGAACAUCUUGAUGAAUCUAGUUCGUUACCUUUGGCA